rnacentral:rRNA from 1 species
AACGAACGCUGGCGGCAGGCCUAACACAUGCAAGUCGAACGCCCUAGCAAUAGGGAGUGGCAGACGGGUGAGUAACACGUGGGAACCUUCCCUAUAGUAUGGAAUAGCCCAGGGAAACUUGGAGUAAUACCGUAUACGCCCGAGAGGGGAAAGAUUUAUCGCUAUAGGAUGGGCCCGCGUAGGAUUAGCUAGUUGGUGAGGUAAUGGCUCACCAAGGCGACGAUCCUUAGCUGGUCUGAGAGGACGACCAGCCACACUGGGACUGAGACACGGCCCAGACUCCUACGGGAGGCAGCAGUGGGGAAUAUUGGACAAUGGGCGCAAGCCUGAUCCAGCCAUGCCGCGUGAGUGAUGAAGGCCUUAGGGUUGUAAAGCUCUUUUGCCGGGGACGAUAAUGACGGUACCCGGAGAAUAAGUCCCGGCUAACUUCGUGCCAGCAGCCGCGGUAAACGUAGCGUG